rnacentral:rRNA from 1 species
GUGAGGAAUAUUGCGCAAUGGAGGCAACUCUGACUCAGCCAUGCCGCGUGCAGGAAGAAGGCGCUACGCGUUGUAAACUGCUUUUAACCGGGAAGAAACCCCAGGACGUGUCCUGGGUUGACGGUACCGGAGGAAUAAGCACCGGCUAACUUCGUGCCAGCAGCCGCGGUAAUACGAAGGGUGCAAGCGUUAGCCGGAUUCAUUGGGUUUAAAGGGUGCGUAGGCGGAGCGUUAAGUAAGUGGUGAAAUCCUGCAGCUUAACUGUAGACUUGCCAUUGAUACUGGCGCUCUUGAGUGCGCUUGAAGUGGGCGGAAUGUGCCGUGUAGCGGUGAAAUGCUUAGAUAUGGCACAGAACACCAAUUGCGAAGGCAGCUCACUAAGGCGAUACUGACGCUGAGGCACGAAAGCGUGGGGAUCGAACAGGAUUAGAUACCCGGGUAGUCC